rnacentral:siRNA from 1 species
GGUACUAGUCCUGAGGAGGCCGAC